UAAUACAGAGGGGGCAAGCGUUGUUCGGAAUUACUGGGCGUAAAGGGCGCGUAGGCGGCCACCUAAGUCAGACGUGAAAUCCCUCGGCUCAACCGGGGAACUGCGUCUGAUACUGGGUGGCUUGAAUUCGGGAGAGGAAUGCGGAAUUCCAGGUGUAGCGGUGAAAUGCGUAGAUAUCUGGAGGAACACCGGUGGCGAAGGCGGCAUUCUGGACCGACAUUGACGCUGAGGCGCGAAAGCCAGGGGAGCAAACGGGAUUAGAUACCCCGGUAGUCCUGGCCUUAAACGAUGGAUGCUUGGUGUCUGGAGUUAUAUAGUCUCCGGGUGCCGCAGCUAACGCGUUAAGCAUCCCGCCUGGGGAGUACGGUCGCAAGACUG
rnacentral:rRNA from 1 species